rnacentral:rRNA from 1 species
AGUGAACGCUGGCGGUAGGCCUAACACAUGCCAGUCGAACGGCAGCACAGUAAGAGCUUGCUCUUACGGGUGGCGAGUGGCGGACGGGUGAGGUAUACAUCGGAAUCUACUUUUUCGUGGGGGAUAACGUAGCGAAACUUACGCUAAUACCGCAUACGACCUACGGGUGAAAGCAGUGGAACUUCGGACCUUGCGCGAUUGAAUGAGCCGAUGUCGGAUUAGCUAGUUGGCGGGGUAAAUGCCCACCAAGGCGACGAUCCGUAGCUGGUCUGAGAGGCUGGUCAGCGACACUGGAACGGAGACGGGGUCCAGACUCCUACGGUAGGGAGCAGUGGGGAAUAUUGGACAAUGGGGGCAAGCCUGAUCCAGCCAUACCGCGUGGGUGAAGAAGGCCUUCGGGUUGUAAAGCCCUUUUGUUGGGAAAGAAAAGCAGCAGGUUAAUACCCCGCUGUUCUGACGGUACCCAAAGAAUAAGCACCGGCUAACUUCGUG